GAUGAACGCUGGCGGCGUGCUUAACACAUGCAAGUCGAACGAAGCAUUUGCGACGGAUUCUUUCGGGAUGAAGAUGCUUAUGACUGAGUGGCGGACGGGUGAGUAACGCGUGGGUAACCUGCCUUAUACAGGGGGAUAGCAGUUGGAAACGACUGGUAAUACCGCAUAAGCGCACAGUAUCGCAUGAUACGGUGUGAAAAACUGAGGUGGUACAAGAUGGUCCCGCGUCUGAUUAGCUUGUUGGCGGGGUAAGUGGCCCACCAAGGCGACGAUCAGUAGCCGGUCUGAGAGGAUGAACGGCCACAUUGGGACUGAGACACGGCCCAGACUCCUACGGGAGGCAGCAGU
rnacentral:rRNA from 1 species